CACGUAGGCUGUUUGGUAAGUCAGGGGUGAAAUCCCGCGGCUCAACCGCGGAAUUGCCCUUGAUACUGCUGGACUUGAGUUCGGGAGAGGGUGGCGGAAUUCCAGGUGUAGGAGUGAAAUCCGUAGAUAUCUGGAGGAACAUCAGUGGCGAAGGCGGCCACCUGGACCGAUACUGACGCUGAGGCACGAAAGCGUGGGGAGCAAACA
rnacentral:rRNA from 1 species